UACGUAGGUGGCAAGCGUUGUCCGGAUUUACUGGGCGUAAAGGGAGCGUAGGCGGAUACUUAAGUGGGAUGUGAAAUACCUGGGCUUAACUUGGGUGCUGCAUUCCAAACUGGGUGUCUAGAGUGUUGGAGAGGAAAGUGGAAUUCCUAGUGUAGCGGUGAAAUGCGUAGAGAUUAAGAAGAACACCAGUGGCGAAGGCGACUUUCUGGACAAUAACUGACGCUGAGGCUCGAAAGCGUGGGGAGCAAACAGGAUUAGAUACCCUGGUAGUCCACGCCGUAAACGAUGGGUACUAGGUGUAGAGGGUAUCGACUCCCCCUGUGCCGCCGUUAACACAAUAAGUACCCCGCCUGGGGAGUACGGUCGCAAGAUUAAA
rnacentral:rRNA from 1 species